GCGCCUGUAGCUCAGUUGGUAGAGCAACAGACUUUUAAUCUGUGGGUCCUGGGUUCGAGUCCCAGCAGGCGCACCA
rnacentral:tRNA from 1 species